rnacentral:rRNA from 1 species
GGGGGACGGGCAUGCGUCCCAUUAGAUAGCAGCGGGGUGACGGCCCACCUGGUCGACGAUGGUAGGGGAUCUGAGAGGACGGUCCCCCACACUGGCACUGAGACACGGGCCAGACUCCUGCGGGAGGCAGCAGUAAGGGAUAUUGGGCAAUGGGGCAACCCUGACCCAGCCAUGCCGCGUGAGGGAAUGAGGCCCUACGGGUCGUGAACCUCUUUUAUACGGGGACAAGGGCGGCGUCGCGAACGCCGUUUGAGGGUACCGUAGGAAUAAGCGUCGGCUAACUCCGUGCC